rnacentral:tRNA from 2 species
AAGAUUUUAAGUUAUGGAAACUGUAAGCCUUCAAAGCUUGAAAAAAAAGUAAUACUUUUAAAUCUUA